GUCUCCAGAGGUCCCUUCAAACCCUUGCUGUUCUGUGAUUCUGCGAUCCCUGGGCUCUGAAGGCUGUAUUUGGUACCUCCAGGCACAGAAGAUGCCUGGGCCCAAGCAAAAUGACAAAAGCAGCCUGCAGCCUCCUUCCUUGGGGUUUCUCACCCUGCGGGGCUGGCCUCUAAACUUUGUUUAAGGUCUUCUGGGAGGGUUCAGGACCAUUGCCCUCUUACGCAUUUGGGUUAUGACUGAAGUCCUUGAUGCCUCUUCCCUUGUUACGCCCUGUGCUGUUGUGGGACCCCUGACUUUGCCCUCGCUCCUGCGAUGCUGGCACUGGGCUGGCGGUGUUUUAGCCACGUCCUAGGGAGCCUCCUGCCACGGCUUGGGCCCAGGCUUGCAGAGCCUUUGGGCAGGUUCCUCUCCACACCACGAAUCCGGAGCACUCUGGGACAGAGCUGGUCAGGAGGGGCUGACCUGCGCCUCCAGGGAGCCCCAGCUGAGCUGAUGCUCGCGCAGCCCUGGCUUUCCCCUGUGGUGCAAGGCUGGGCACCCGGAGUGAAACGCAGCCCCCUGCCUGAUAGGCGCGCUCUCAUAAUUGCAGAUGAAAGCUCUUGGGUAUCCAGUUGCAUCCCGCGCUGCUGUAGACACCAAAGGAUGCAUUUUGUGCCAACGGUUGUGCCUUGUUUUGGAGCUGAAGCUGCAGAAUUCAACUUGAAUUUAGAUUUAGGGUAACCUUUUAGCAUCCUCAUCCACCACGUAAUCCAUGUACGUGUGUGCUAUGACGUAGCCGCCCAACACUUCACCCAAAAUCAAGGGACUGUACGUGUGACCUGCUGACUCUGAAGGAAUAUGUGAAAGAUUCACCACAACAUUUUUAAUUUUUGGUAGUUAGUAGGAAAAUAAACCCUCUCUCCUCACCCCACCUUGUUAUUUUUAGUAGCAAACUUCCUGCUAAGGAAAAAAAAAAAAAAAUUUCUCACUAUCAAGGGGAUUGGUUUUGAUCAAAAGGCUGGCUCUGCUCCAGGUAGAUGAUCAGUUUUGCUACUACCUGAGAGAUGAAUCACAAAGAUCUCUGUUUCCAAGCCCGUCAAGGCAAGAAGUAGCUGCUGUGCUUGCAAGGAGGGAGGGGAGGCCGGGGGAGCUGGCAGCGCUGCAUCUCCCCCCUCCUCGGGCCGGGGCUGCAGCGGCGCUUUGCUGCGCUCCCACGGUGUUGGUCAAUCCUGGACAGCCCCCGGAGGACAAACUGUGCUCCGGGCCCUCGCGGAUGUGCGGGACAGGAAGGCGCGUUGUGCAAUUGAGACCAGUGGAGCCCUAAGCAGCUGUGCAUCGCUGCUGGCUCACUCGUGCCCCAAGUUUUCUAAUGACAAGGGUUAUGAUUGCAAGUGGAUGCUUUUCCAUGCAGGGGCUGUUGGUACUUGCAGGCCUUCUCAAAAUCCAAUGGAAGCCAACUGCAAUUUGAUUUAGGUUGCAUUUCUGCCCUAGGUUGGUUGCAUUUCUGCCCUAGCUUGGUUGCAUUUCUGCCCUAGCUUGGUUUAUACCCAGGUACAGCUGAUGGUAAGCUAUACAAUCUAAACCAGCAAAACUUUCUGUGAAAAAUCAGAUGAUGGUGGUAUUUUUCUAAGAAUUGGGAUUGGGCAUGUCAGAAGGCUGUCAGGAUUUCCCGCAGCGGAGCUUGGCAUGAAGUGGGCUGGCACAGCUAAACUGCGUAAUGUUUGGAAACGCCAGAUUAGCGAAGGACCUGUUAGCAUCAGGCUUGCUUGAACCUGGGCUUAGAGGGCUCCUGCUGAGGGCUUGCUGGAGCUGACUGUAAAAUGACAGGCAGUGGUGGCUGGCAGUUUAAACCCAGCUCUAAAAGUGAGGUGCCCAGGAACAAAAGGUGUUUUUCACUAAUGGUAAGGCACUCUCCAGAAAUUGUCCUGUUAGGUUAGGCUAGGCCCACAGGAAUCCUGCUCUAGGCUUUUGCAGCACCUUUUCCAAGCAGGGAAGGCAAAGCUCUUCCGCGCUGCUCCAAAAAUCUGAGCAACUCUGGCUGACCCCGCAGUGGGAAGCUGCAAGCAGGUUAGAGAGAGGGUGUGCAAGAUGUGCCGAUGGCAGCAGCUGGGGUCAGCGUUGCAACAGCUUCAGGAAAUGAAGUUUCAGCUUAGGGAAAAAGAAAUUUGGCAUUGCUGCCAGGAAAGGAACCUCGCAGUCCAGCUCCAUUGUCUGGAGCAAAGAAGAAUAUUUUGUUGCUUCAGGGUGUGAUGAAAUGGUGGAGACACCCUGCCAAGAGGCAAAGGGCAACAGAUCGCAGAAGGCAGAGGUGGAAAAUGAGAACUGGAUUAAAGCACUGAAUUGCCAUCGCUCUCCAACUGAGGAUUUCUACCUACACCGUGGGCUGGGACCUCCAGCUCCUUCUCCAUCAGAAGGUCAGGGAAGCACUCCGAUGUGAGCAUCCGAGGGCCUGGCAUGGAUGGGAACCGAUUCAACAAAUCCCCUUCCUUCCUCUGCAUCAUCAUCUAACCAGUCCCAAGAUGCCUGUGGCAGCAGCAGAAGUGGUGCGAUGCUUCCGCCGGGUUUGUGAGCCAGGGCUGAAUCCCCUCCACCCACCUUGAACGCGUCCCCCUGGGCCACCUAUCUCCACCGGCCAUUGAACCCCGUGCCCGUGGCCAGAGCCCUGCAGCACCUUUCCGCAGCCCCUCCACCUUCCCAACCCAGUUUCGGAGGAGCAGAGCUGCAUCUCCCCGCCAUGCCAGCUCCUCUCCCGCGCUGAUGCCCCUGCCAGCAGGCAGCCCUCCCGUCCCGAUUGCUGACUUGCUCUGCCUCCAUUUUCUUCUGAAUCAAACGACUCCUGUAGCAUCAGUGAGGAAAGAAAACCCAGCUGCCAUUACACACCUGGAAUCUGCUGGACUCACAAGUGAAGGGCUCAGAGCGGUAAAACCAAAAGAGACUCAGAAGUGAAAGAGCAAGGUGGCCAGGAUCAAGGCCUCAUCCUGACUGAGAACAAAUGCGAAGUUAAAAACAACUCGGUAGCUCAACGGAGACGGCAGUGCUAUCUCUGAUACACAUGCAAAAGUUCACGCAGUGACAGAAGCUGUGGCCAAGGCACGGUGCCCCCGCCAGCGCGACCCCCCCAGCAAGGGAGCC